rnacentral:lncRNA from 1 species
AGCAAGUUCUGCGUACAAAGACCAUUCCGUUGGUCAAAGUGGUCUGGCAACACCACGGUACAGAAGGAGCGACAUGGGAGACUGAGGAGUCGAUGAGAGAAUUGUACCCCCACCUUUUUGAUCAAGUAUUGUAAUAGGUUUAAAUUUCGAGGACGAAAUUUUUAUAAGAGGGGAAGAGUUGUGACAGCCUGAAUUUUCAUAAUUUGUUUUCGAUUAAAUAAAUUGGGCCUUUCAUCGAAACGCUAAUAGUGCUAUUCUCUGAGCUGAUCACUCACGAGAUAACUGGACUAUCUGGGGAAACAAGUAGGGAAUCUAAAUGCAAUUGCACUUGAGAAUUCGACCAAGAAUCGACUGCUCAACCGUGUUGAUCUGCAAGGGUCAUUACGGCACCGUCAGAGAUCGAU